rnacentral:lncRNA from 1 species
AGGCCUCGCUAUAAAGAAAAGUGAAGUCAGUAUGUCCAAGAAUGAGGUUGGACCAGCACACGUGACAUCCCCCAUUGUCGCAUUUGCAGCAAAUUCUCUGCCCUCUGUAGACCCUAAUGCCUAUGAAGGAGACUAAGCCUGAAGUCCUUAUUUUUGAGCUACUAAGAGCUACUGCAAUGCAACAUUCAAUGUAGGGUCGCUGGU